ACAGCUUAUAGCCGUCUGUCAUGUUAUUAGCUUCCACUCUUCAGUUGUGAAAAUCACUGUAGUCUUCAUUAAUGUUUGACUGUGGCUGUGUUUGAAUGUUGCAGGGCCCCCCGGGACCUCCUGGCCCUCCUGGUCCCCCUGGACCUCAGGGACUUAUUGGAUUCGAAGGACCACAGGGUAUCCCCGGAAAUGACGGGUUACCGGGGAAACCGGGUUUGCCUGGAAGCAUCCACCCCAGUGGUACACACCAGCUGCCUCAGGACUCCACUGGAGGAGACGAUGAUGGCUGUGAGGGCGGCUGUUCCCAAGGGUUGCCAGGGGUGCCCGGCAUAGUUGGUGCCAAGGGAGAAAAAGGAGACCAGGGCAAGCCUGGUGUAACCCCCUUGGACAGCUGUGACAGGUGUUUGGAGAGACUGCAGAGAGAACAGGCAACACAAGCAGUGGGUGAUCGAUCAUGCACCGGAUCCCCAGGAGUUCCAGGAAUGCCUGGAUCACCAGGAAUAAAAGGAGAGCCAGGAAUACCAGGAGAAAGAGGCCAGUCUGGAAUACCAGGAAAUAUGGGACCCCCCGGUUUCCCAGGUCCUCAGGGACCAUCUGGCCUACCUGGUCAACAGGGUGAGCGAGGGCAACCCGGACUACCGGCAAUGAAGGGGGAGCAGG
rnacentral:lncRNA from 1 species